AAAUAUAUAUAUAUGUCUAUUACUGUUUAGAGGUAUUAGUAUUGUAUUGGUCAAACCAGCUCACAUAUCUGUAUGGAUCAUUUUGACUCCCACGCUUUCAGGGGUUUUCCACAUUUCAGUCAAAUUGGUUCAGCCUACAAUUACAGGCCUCAUUUUUGUGUUUUAAACUUCGACACAACAUAUACAUAAGGAUACAGUUUCCUUUUCCAAAUCAUGAAUUCUCGGGUUGAAUCACACAUACUGAUGCAACCAAUCAUACGUCUUUUACAUUACAGUAAUAUUAUAUACAACUUUAUAUCACUUCAAAGAAUUGUUUUCAUCCCUGCCCCUUUGUUGUUGUCAAUUAUAUAUCAGCAUAACGCAUUUACAUAUAGGCCACGGCUAGUGGCUAGUCUCCUCGCGUGUCACAUAAAGAGGGCCUCCUCUGUCACUCCCUUUCCCUGUUUUUCUGUGUUACAGUCACUGAGAGGCCUACAAUCCUGCCACUAUGACGAGUGGCCUCAAAUCCCUUUGCGCCAACGCAUAGAGCCUCUCAAGCCACUUGGCAACUAGUAGGGCCUCACCUGUCACCAAACAAGCGUAAUGUUUCGCCAUCCGGCUCAGCUAGCCUGCUAGUACGAUCUUGGUGGUUUUCAUACACUAAUUAAUUGUUUUAUUUUAGUAUGUCUCAGGAAGGGGUAGAGUAUUUCUCCCUGCCUAGCACGCCGGCUAGAGCUAUCACUCCUACACAAGGAGGAGAGGUAACUAGUCCAGCAUCGAUCAGAUCCUGGACGAUCCCUCGUAUAACUACGGAAUUGAGGAGAUGGCAAAUACCCUACCCCGCUACAGCAAGGAAAGCAGAACUUUUCAAACUGCUACGUACUUCAACUAACAACAUGGAUGCCGGGAAAGGACCUAGCCAAUCCAACCCAGGAGACCUACAUUCCACGUACUCUAAGCCUUAUCUAACGUCCAUAAAUAUUUCAGUAUUUACAGCAUUUCUGUCACAUCACACGUCUAAACACUUGGUAGACUUUCUUAUCUCUGGUUUAACAGAAGGCUUCCCUACACAUAACGUCCGGGAUUCUGGAAUGCCCUAAUCUACAAUCAGCACAACACAACCACACAGCUGUUGACACUCUCAUAGACCAAGAAGUUGCUGAGGGUUUCUUAUUGGGGCCUUUCAAGGCUCCUUCGUUCAAAGAAUGGCGCACUAACCCCAUUGGUAUUGUCACAGGGAAAUCUUCCCUUAAACAGAGACUCAUCAUUGACCUAUCUGCACCACACUCAUCGGCUAACCCCAGUCUUAAUUCCCUCAUACCCUCCGAAGAAUUCUCCCUACAAUACACCACCAUAGAUCACGCCAUUACAACUAUCAUACAAGCAGGGGUCGGAGCAUGGCUUAGUAAGACCGAUAUUACUAAUGCCUUUAAAUUGCUGCCAAUCCACCCCACACUGUGGCACCUGCAUGGCAUCAAGUGGUCCGUUGUUUCUCCCGUUUAACUUUUGGGUCCAAAAGUAGCCCAGCUAUUUUCGAUACAUUUUCCAAAGCAUUGUGCUGGUUACUAUUGAACAUAGCCAGAUGCCCUACUGUAUUACACUACCUGGAUGAUUUCUUACUGGUCGAGGAGAAUUCUUCCCCUCCCAGUAGCCUCAAAGCUACCACCAAGCUAUUCGAGCAGCUAGGUGUCCCAAUCUCCCCUAAGAAAACGGAGGGGCCAGACACGAUUAUUACAUUCCUGGGUAUUCAAUUAGACUCAACCACAAUGCAAGCAAGCCUGCCACACGACAAGAUAGAGAACAUUCUUACUUACCUUCAGCUCGGUACUUGCAACCGCAUAGAACUACAGUCCCUGCUGGGUUCACUAAAUUUUGCCAUGCGUAUUAUACCUCAAGGCCGCUCCUUCAUAUCACGACUGUCAGGUAUAGCCUGACAUGCAUUUCGCCGUAGGAACCCACUUCCGGGUUCACGGAGCUUAGCCCCGCCCCUUUUUUCUGACGCGGUCCUUACACGCUACUUAGGAAGACCGCGCCAGAUUCAAAGGGCUGGAUUAUUGCACAGGUGCCUGAAAACUUAUCAGCUGCACUACCUUGAUCCUGCCUGUAUCGAGUAUCGUUCUGGGACGGCUACUACCUUCUCCACUCCUUGAUCUCGGCUUGCAAAACGGACUUCUACCUUCUCCACUCCUUGAUCUGGGCUUGCUAAACGGACUUCUACCCCUCUCCACUUCCACUGGAUGUAGUUAACCCCUACAGUUCCAGAACUGCCUCUUAAGUAAUUGUUUCUACAAUCAAGCUACUCUCUGUUACUAAUAAUAGACUGUAUCUGAAGGCUCAUUACUGUGGCAAUCUCUCAAGUUAUUCUCUCUUAUACAUAAGGAACUGCUUUUAAGGCUAAAUUCUUCCUCCAAUAAUCAAUUUAUUCCUAGCUGCAAUUCUGUAUUUCCUCAUUAAUAAUCUUGCUUGCAAUUAUUCCAUCUGAAUUAAGCUAAAACUAACUCUGCAUAUUUUUCUGCAUUAUUCCUAAAUUGGAACUAUUUGGCUUGUGCAGAUCUUCAUUGGCUUAUUCUUUACUCACAAUUAACAUCCUGCUUGAGUAUUUAAAGCUACAGUAACCUCUCCUCCACAUCAGUAUAACAGGAGGUGAAACUAAUAGUUACUGCAAUUAGAAAAUUCUGCAGUUGAGUUCCAAUUAAAAUAAGUAUUACAACGACUCCUGUAUCUUUUUCCACUCUUCCUACACGACACACACAGGUUGUCCUUAGAUACUCAAACUACGGCAGACUUACGCAUGUGGAAGAAAUUUUUAACCACUUGGAAUGGUAAAAGUAUGUUCCUCCCUCACUUGACUGACUCAUCGCCUACCAUUUGGUCAGAUGCGGCAUCUACCACAGGUUUUGCAGCAAUUUUUGGGAACGAAUGGCUUUGGGGCAGCUGGCCUACAGCAGUUCAGGAUUUGGAAGGUAUUUCCACUACCUCAGCUCUCUUUGAGAUAUAUCCCAUCGUGGCGGCUGUCGUAGCAUGGGGUCAUUUAUGGGCAAACAUGCCAGUACGUUGCUACUCAGAUAACCAGGCAGCCUGUCACAUCAUCAACAAAGGUCGUUCCAAAUCCCUUACGAUCAUGAGAUUUCUGAGGAAACUCACUUGGUUGGCGGCCUGUCACAAUUUCUUUCUGUAUUGUUUUCAUGUUCCAGGUAUAUGUAACACAGCUGUUUUCAGGCAUUUCAUCAAGCACUCCUCAUCAGCUGCGCCCACAGCCACCACUACUCCAACAUUUCAACAACUAAUACUGGACUAGACACUAUCAUGCAUCAUAGCAGGGCACUGUCCCAAUUGGCACUGUCAAAAAAUACACACAAAACAUACAACAGGGCUUUUGCAUUAUUCAAAAGAUUCCUUUCGGAACAUAACAUCAUACAACCUUUUGUCAUGACAUCUUUUUUGGGUUUUGCUUCUUUUUGCCACCUUAAACUUAAAAUGUCAUACAACACCAUUAAACUUUAUCUCACAGGCAUUCAACACCAUAUGCUAAUUGUAACGGAUCACCUGGCACCCCGACUGGGUACCUCCGUUGAUGGAUGCUCCUAGCGCUUCUUGAGGGCUCCAAGCACUCUAGUCAACACCACAACCACCGCAGGCAGAACCUCUCUUCCUUCCGAGCAAAGCAGGAACAAGCUCUUAAAAGAGCUUAGGAGUGAUUAAAGCAAGGGAAUAUGCAGAGCAUAGCAAUCCCUUGUAGCAGAUUCCCCCCAAUAAGAGACAGAACUCCAAAUUGAGGGUGAAGUUGAACUGUCUAAAACUUUAUUUUACUUGGGACUAGCCCAUAUGGUCAUUACAUUAACAUUGCUGUGAAAACUCAAUAAAAUUACACACAAUCAAAUCAUAGCAGGCAACAUACAGUGACUUAUUAUAACAUAUAUUAUAAAUGGGUGGGGAAGACCAUAAUUAACACAAAAUGUCUCUCCUGCAUGCAGAAUUAGCAAUAUGCAAAUCUACCCGAAUAUGCAAAUUACCAGUCUUGCUAUUCAGGUAGUUCAUAUUACUGUUGCUACCAACAAAGGGCACUACACAAGCUCCAUAGCCAAAUCCAUCUAGUUGGUAGCAAUCCUCAGCAGUACAGGAGAACAGGUAAUACAUCCCAGGGGCCAUAGUCACAUGGCAGGAGGCUGGCAAUCAGUCUUCUCCAAUGCCCAAUGGCGAGGCUGGUUCCGCCACACUAAUCUUACAACCAAACAACACAAAUUUCAUGGCUUCUCACCAGAUUAAGACUAUCCUCAGAGGCAAUCAGAGAUCUGAACUCACGCCUACAUCACAGAGUCUACCCAUAAACAACCAUAUCUUCAAAGCAUUGUCUGAUCUGCUUGAUUUAAAACCUUUUGACACCAACAUAAAUUCUUUCAUCAAGGCAGCAAUAUACAUAGCUUUCUAUGGAUUCCUAAGACCUAGAGAAUUCACUACAACCAACGUGACACAAUCUACUCCUAUUCUCCUCUAUUCCCACUUAACAAAACACAUGGAUCAUUACAUCCUGACUCUACCUCACUCCAAAACCAGUCAGCAUGCACCAGUAAAAAUAACAUACUAUCCCAUGCACAAUAGGUGGUGCCCCAUCAAGAUUAUUGAUGCAUACAUACAGCAUCAUAAUUUACUACCAUCACAACCAUUAUUCAUAUUAUAUAUUACCACUACAACCUUCAUGACCUACGUCAGGUCUUUACUCACUCAACUGGGCCUCAACGCCGCUAACUACUCAGGCCACUCCUUCCGCAUAGGGGCGGCAUCCACAGCCUCCAGUGUCAACAUUCCAGUUCAUGUUAUAAAAACACUGGGGCACUGGAAAUUAACCGCUUACUCACGGUAGAUACCGAACCCAGUACAAUAAUUAAGGCAUGCUUUCAAAAACAUGUCUGGUUGAUAUAUGUAUCUGUAUUGGUUGUCUGUGAUAAAUUUAAUUACUUAAUUCUCUUCUUUCUCAGGCCUACCUCAUCAUCGGUUCGGGCACACCACAACCGAAUUGCUCAUUUUAAUAUCCUACAUUUCAUUAUGGUAUUUUACCCUGUACUAUCAUGAGCACCUAACACAAGUAUUAAGGCAAUUUGGCCUGUAUUUGUGGGAGGUGCUUGGUAUCCAAUCCUAGCCUACUAAAAGCACACCCCUUACCUUGCUCCUUAUCGUUCGAGGUCAGCGUUGAAUGACCCUCCCACCACACCACAUUUUAACAUUAUUUCCUUUCUAUUUCUUUUCCUUGGUAAGCCCUCUUCUACCUCAUCGUCGGUUCCGGCACACCACAACUGGCUUGCUCUUUUUAAUAUCCUACAUUUCAUUAUGGUAUUUUACUCUGUACUAUCAUGAGCACCUAACACAAAUA